CUCAGCUUCGGGUGAAAAUUGAAAACCCUUAUUCUUCGCUCCAAACCCUUUCUUCUCCCUUCUCGAUUCAAGCUCACCGUAUAUCCUAGACUUCGAUUAUCUUCAUCGUUUUUCUAUCUAAACUCCAAAAACUCUCCAACUCAUCAUCUUUUUCAUCUAGUUUCGUCGUUUGUUCUGUUUAAUUUUAUUUUUAAGAGUCUCAAAUUAUUGAGACAUCGUAAGAAUUGAAGAAGGGUGGAAUAAUAUGAGAGAAAGAAAAACUUUUCCAUGACAGUUUCAUCCGAUCCUUGUAGAAUGAGGUUGCUUUUCUUCAGGUUGUAAAGGCUAGGUUGUAAAGGCUCGGGCAUGUGCUGGGGAGCUACAGAAGUUAUUGUUCUGUUUGAGGUCAUGGAACUUAAUUUACUCUUUUGAAAAAAAAAUAGUUUAAUGUAUCUUUUAUUUUCCUCUUUGAUUUAUUCAUACCAGGAAAGACAUAUUCCUCCUUUUCCUCCCCUGUCUUGGUGGUUUCUACUGAAACCAUUGUUAUCAAUAGCGAAAAAUAGUGUUUUAUUCAUGUUCCGUAAUGCAACAAUGUUAGUCCUGCCAUUUGACAUCAUUUUGGAUUGAAUAGCGUAUCCUGGAAAAAUAGCAGUUUAAGUUGAUGCAGUGUUCGAAUCGAUGAAUGAUUUUGCACUUUAUUUAACGACACGAAGUUGUAACUAAUUAAGGUUGCAACGUCGGUGGCGGUGAAGAAAUCUGUUUGAAAGAUUGAAAAUUGGGUUGGUAUUUAUCUGUCUACAUGCUAUGACAGGAACAUCUCCUAAAUUAAAGAAUGAAUACACUAAACAUUUACAGUUGAUGAAGGCUUGAGUUCUCCAACAUAUUCAUCCAUUACAUUUCUGGAUGUUGAUCUUCUCAAUGUUGGACACAAAGAUCAUCAUGAAGGUGUUGAUUGAUUAUAAAAGAAUACAUAGAAGAGUUAGAUUUUUUAAAAUUAUUUUAACAAUUAAUGUAAUGGAAUAUUGAUGGGAUUAAUGUUUAUUUAUCAAUAUUUUA